GAUGAACGCUGGCGGCGUGCCUAAUACAUGCAAGUCGAGCGAACGGACGCAAAGCUUGCUUUUCUGAUGUUAGCGGCGGACGUGUGAGUAACACGUGGAUACCCUACCUAUAAGCCUGGGAUAACUUCGGGACACCGGAGCUAAUACCGGAUAAUAUUUUGAACCGCAUGGUUCAAGAGUGAAAGACGGUCUUGCUGUCACUUAUAGAUGGAUCCGCGCUGCAUUAGCUAGUUGGUAAGGUAACGGCUUACCAAGGCAACGAUGCAUAGCCGACCUGAGAGGGUGAUCGGCCACACGAGAACUGAGACACGGUCCAGACUCCGAAGGGAGGCAGCAGUAGGGAAUCUGGCGGAAUGGGCGAAAGCUUGACGGAGCAACGCCGCGUGAGUGAUGAAGGUCUUCGGAUCGUAAAACGCUGUUAUGAGGGAAGAACAUAUGUGUAAGUAACUGUGCACAUCUUGACGGUACCUAAUCAGAAAGCCACGGCUAACUACGUG
rnacentral:rRNA from 1 species